AAAAUAAGAAAAAAAGCAGCGCCAAAUAUUUGUUCAACAUUUAAGCAUCGACAUUAUCAUCAUUGUCGCAAGUUUGUUUGGCUUCACAUCAGAAUUUUAUGGAGCGCACAAAUAUGAGACAGGAUCGAGAGCACCAAGCACAAGCACGAGACGGAAACGGAGACGAAGCAGAUACCAAGUGGGUAAAUGGAUUGGGCGGUCGGGAGGGAGGAGAGAAGCGACCCAGACCCAGACGACGAUGAAAUGAGAAGUAGAUGGAAAACAAGUAAAAAUUGUAGACAAACUAUAAGAGAAACGACUAAGGAAUACCCAAUAAAGCAUGGAAAUUAAUAGAGCAACUUGUGUAUAAUAAAAAACAAAUAGUAAAUUGAUGAAAACUAAAUGAAAACUAAGAACUAUUUCGAUUCAACAAACUAUGUACUUUAAAUUGACAAGUUUGUCUUAAGUUGAUCGAACUUUAAACAGUUAAAAACUGCCCAAAAAAUUUGUGACAAAAAUUAUAAAGCUAGCAAGAAAGCUCCUUUUAAGUAUUCACAUAUGUAUGCACAUACAUUUGGUUGGAUGUGGAAGGACUAGCGGCAUUUCAUGGAGCUGCUUUUAUAUCCUCCAUGCGAAUGCAGAAACUUUUUAUACUUUGGAGCUGGCAAAGUUGUGAGUUACAGGGCAUACACAAAAGUAGAAAAUAAAUAAGCAGGGAAAAAGGAAAGCCGAAAAGUAAAAGCUUUGCCACUAGCCAGUUUAUUGUGUAUAAACAUUUGCAGGACUAAAGCAAGCCAAGGGGAAGAAGAUGAGCCCCACAAAGUGACUGGCGGAAUAAUAUUAGAUCGAAGUUUCUUCCUUUAUUUUUUGUUGAAAAGAAGGCCUAUUGAGGCGCACUGCUCGAGUCCUUUUAAAGUAGACUCUGCGCUGGGGAAAUAACCCACCAAGUCAAUGGGAACCGAGACAGGAGCCAAGCCAAGGAGCCCAGCGAGCCGCACUAAUCAACACAAUUACGGUGCAGUCGAAGCAAAAACUUUUCUAAUUGGAUAUGAAGACGCGCACAUGCGUUUCUUUAAAAGAAUUUCACUCCACCAAAGGCAUCUUCUACUAGCUGAAGGUCCAAACAAUUUGGCAAGAAAAUGGCGAGCGACAAACAGUAGCUUCAGCUUCAGCUCCGUCUCCGUUUCUGGCUUCAGCUCCAUAGGCGUCACCAAAGCCCAAUCCCCAAUCCCCGGUACGCUGAAAUGCUUUGACAAAUUAUUUUUAAGCCAAUUUACAACUUGAGAAAAAGUAUCAAGAAAACAUAUCACCCUCCACGACAAAAGGGUGUGAGAGGGCGUGUGUGUGUGUCAGUCAGUGUUUGUGUAUGUAUAGGUAAAGCAAAUAUAAUGCGAGGGAUAAAAGUGUAAAGUUGACAACCCAAGCACAUUACUCACUCGAGGUGCCAGCAACGACAACGACAGCGGCGACAAGGGCAAAAGGAGUUGGAGAAGAACAACGACGACGGCAAUAGAGACGACAACGACGACGAUGGCGAUGGCAUUAAAAUAACCGACCAAGCGAUUCAACGUCAAAUGAACAAAGAGCUGAAACAGAAACAGCAACCGGAGCAGUAGCUGAAAUGAGCAUGGCCAAGAAAAAUGGUAAUGCGCUCCUUGCAAAGCUCCGAGAACGGAGAACAGAGAAGCAAGAGCCAAAGCCAUAGCCAUUGCCAUCGUCAUAGCCAUCGCCAUAGCCUUAAGUGUAUGCAACCAGAAAGCAGUCAAGAGAGUUCACAUUGACGAUAGCAAUUGCAGUGUGUGUGUUUGUGUGAGCUGCUUUCAUUCACACUCCUUGCAAGGACUUGUGCUUGCACAUGAUGCCAGUCUUUGGCCAGUGUCACAGUCACUGGCAAAGCCAGGAAGCAGCAUUUUCUUAACGCUUCUCUCGAGCGUCGACAAAAUGACGACACUCCGUUUGUCGUUUGCCGGAAACCAUUAAUUUUGUCACUCUCCGAAGCGUGGAGCUGCACAUGAGAGUCGUCGAUGUUGGUGCGGGGGCCAUUGACCAGCGCUCUAUAUUGAAAAUCAUGAAAAAGCAAUUAAAGUCUUGCACCUGUGCACCUUGCCACAGUUUAUGGCGAGAGCACGGAGCAGCAGAGGCCACGUUCAGCUUCGACUUCGAUGACAUCCAAGGCAUAAGUUAAUUGUUGCCAAAGCGCAGACCACACUGACCGCAACGACAGCAGCAGCAACAACAACAACAACAACAGAACGACAGCAACACCGGGAAGAGGAAGUAAACGAAUGGUGUGUGAGCUGUAAAGUUCACAUGACACUCCUCUUCAUGAUGCAUUGCGGCCAGCAGUGACGGCAACUGCUGAUGCGACCACAAAAACCGCGGACAUGUUUACAGUUUGAUGUGUUGUCUUUGCAAUUGACUCUUAAUAAUUACAAUGCAUAAUUUAAUAGUUUCAAUUUGAGCAGCCGAAAACGUCUCAGAAGGUUGUUUAACAAUAAUAAGUAUUACAUUAAGAAAAUAAAUGGCCAAAAACGUUUGGCCCAAGUCAAAUAUGCAAAAUGCUGCUUACCGCAAACAGCAGAGAGCACAGCUUAUUCAGUCUUCGAUUACGCACAUUAUGUUAAUACCGCUCUUGCCCAAGUUGACGCCCUCGAGCGCCGAUUCCUGGUG